AAACAGUACAUAUUAUACUUUAAUAAAUUUGUAAUAAUAUAUAUAUAUAUAUAAAAUCCGGCUAUUAUACUAUCGAUAGUACCAAGCCUUUGGUACUAUUGAGUUUUUUACCAUUAGAUCUGCCAUUUGAUCAUUUCCACCCAUUAGAUUAUACUAUUAAACCAACCACCCACUCAACCCUCGGGGACCACUAUCAAUUUAACCGGGGACCACUAUCAUCCUAACCACACAUCCUUUCAUCCAACGGCCGAAAACUCAAUAGUAUCAAGGACUUGGUACUAUUGAUAGUAUAGUAGCAUAUAUAUAUAUAUAUAUAUAUAUAUAUAGAGUAAGGCUAGAAUACUUGUAAAAGUAUCAUGGGGGUGAUGCUUAUGUGUUUUUAGCCCUUGGAUGGAGAGAUGUGAGGUUGAGAUGAUGGUGGUAGGUGGUGGUAGGUGGUGGUAGGUGGAAUAGUCUUUAAUUCAAGGGCUAUUAAUAAUCAAAAAGUAGAUCCAAUGGCUUAAAACCUAAUAGCACCAUGAUAGUGAUACUUGUAAAAGUAUCAUAGCUCAACUCUAUAUAUAUAUAUAUAUAUAUCUACGAGUUGAGCUAGAAUACUCUCAAAAGUACCAAUGGGGUGUACUUUUGAGUUUUUAACCAUUGGAUGGAGUGAUAUAGGAUUGAGAUAAUAGUGGUAGGUGGUAGUAGGCGGAAUAGUAUUUGAUCCAAAAGGUAUUAGUAAUUAAAGAGUAGAUCUAAGGACUAGAAACUUAGAAGCACCAAUGAGUUAGGUGCUUCUGAAAGUAUUCUAGCUUUACUCAAUAUCUAUGCACGGGCAAAAAUGUUGUCUAUAAUUAAUAUGACCUUUGUGAAAUGACGAUCAUACCCUCUCAGCAACACUGUGGCUAUCAGUAGCUUGGCCUCUUCUUGCCCUCACAUGAACCACUUCCUUUGGCUUCUUCUCCUCCUUUGAACACCUCCUCCCUCUCCUCCCACGACCACCACCACCACCACCUAAACUCUGAAAAAGAGAACAAAUUCACCAAUGCAUCAAAUGAACACAAAAUAUAUAGGGGCUAUUUGGUUCAAUGUAGUUACAAAAACAGUAUAAUUGAAAGUACAUACAGUUGCAAAUACUGCAGUCAUAACUAUACCUAGUCUGUUUGGUUUUAUAUAGUUGCAAUUGCUGCAGUUAUAUUUCUUCUAUUUGGUAGGUUGUAAUUGAGAUUUGUAUUUAUAAAUUCUGUCAAUUUUUAGAUAGGAAUAUAAGAUUAUCUUUUCUGAACAUAACAUAAUCAUACGAUCUUUUAAUUAUUAAUUAAAAUUUUUAUAUGUAUAUAUAAUUUAUAUAUUAUAAAAUUAAAUAUGAAUUUAAUGAAUUUUAAAUACAAAUAUAUUAUAAAUUUGGUCAAAAUAAAAAUUAAGACAUUAUUGAACUAGCAGAUUAGAAAAAAAAGAAGCGUAUGAAAAAAAUUUAUUAAACCCUAACAGAUAUUGUUAAACUCCAGCAAAUUUCAUGAAUAUGUAUUCUUAGAAAAAAAAAUUUUAAAAAAAAGCAUAUAAAGAAUAAUCACAUUUUAUUUAUUUUUUUAAUGGGUGAGCCGAUUCUAGCCCAACUGCUGCAGUUGGUACAACAGCCCUUCUCGUGUAGAUGCAACUGCAGUUGAGCCGGCCUAACUAUACCAAACCAAAUAAUAGUGCAGUAAAAAUAUUUCAAAAAAGGAAACUAAAACUGCAAAAAUGAAUGAUACAUCAAAGUCAUUAAUUGAAGAUACAUACACUCUUCUUCCUUGCUACAUUUUCUUGUGAAUAACCAUUUUCAAGACGAGGCGUCGCCGAGCUCUGCGAACUACUCUCCGGUGCUGCGGCUUCCCCCUUCUUCUUGAUAUAUCCCCAGCUGAUCUCGACCGUCGAUGGGGACGUGUUUUCAUGAGUUAAUGGUGAGUUAUUGUGCAAACCCAUGAAUGGUGAGCUCAAAUUCUCUAUUUCAUUGCCAUUGAUUAGCUCUAUAUACUGUGACACUAUCUCAAAGCAUGGAUCCAUUUCAUUAAUGAAGCUCUCAACAAGCUCUCUCAUGGCUAUGGUAUAUUUUUAUAUAUAUAUAUAUAUAUAUCUGUGAGUGCUCUUUCUUCUCUCCUCAAGAGUGUCACAGUGUAUAUAUUUAGAUGAAGGGGAGGGGAAUAAGAGGUAUGGAGCCCAUGACAUGGUGUGUGUGGAUUAUAAAUGAGCUUUGUAGAGGACGGGAAAUUAUUGCCUGAACCCGGUGUGCACAUGCAAUUCCAUGCACCGAAACUAAGUUUUGAUGAUCUGAUAAAUGUGAUAUAUAUAUAUAUAUAUAUAUAUAUAUAUAUAUGGGAGUAAAGCUACUAUGCUAUCGGAAGUAUAGAAAAUCUGGUGCUUCCGACUUUUUGGCCCUUAAAUCAAAAUUUUUAAUUAUUUUUAACUUUUGGAUUAAUACUAUUACUCUGUGGGAACUAGUCAACACUAAGGAUACUACUUAACUCUGGAAGAACCACAAUUAUCCCAACCAUACAAUUCUUGAUCAAAGAAUUAAAAAGUCGGAAACAUCAACUCCUUUAUAUAUACUUUUGAUAGCAUAAUAGCCCUACACUAUAUUUAGAGAACUUAAUUAAGUAUCGGAAAUAAUAUAUUUUGAAAAUUUAUUACUGAGGAAUCAAAAUGUUUCGAAAAUCAAUGAUAGUAUGGUCAUUAUUUGACUUGCAAAAUAACGAAGUCCAAAAUUUAUGAUUUUUAACAUAUAAGUAUUUUAAAUGUCAUACAAUCUAUCCAAGUAGGAUUGUUGGUCUAGCUCGCUAUUCGCGAGUCAGCUCAUGUUCGACCCCAAAAUGACUCGCAGCCAAACAUAAGCUGGGUUUACCUCGCUUGUGUUUCCAUCGAUAUAGCUCGAAAUAAAUAAAUAUAUAACUAAUUUAUAUAAAUAUUAUAUUUAGAUUGAUAUAUAGUAAAUGCGAACAUUAUUUUUUUUUUGUUAGCGUGACUUUUAAAAUUUAAUAUUAAUUACCAAUACUAUUAAGAGCACAUGCAAACAUUAUAAGUAAUAAUAAAUUAAUAAUAAUACUAGCUAGUAAUAGCUAGUUUUAAUAUUUUAUUAAAGUUUAAUGCAAGUUGGUUGACAAUAAUUUCGAGGCUUCUCAAAUUAAUUUCAAGUUGAAGACGAGCUAAUUAUUAAAGCUUGUUUUAAUUUUGAGCCAAAUGCAAACCAACUCGAUCGAGUUAUUUUCAAGUCCAUCUCAAGCUGAUCCUAUCUCAUUUGUGCUCCGGUUGUGUGACGCCCCGCGGGAGGAUCACCUAUACUAGUAAUUUUUUUUAACCUCUUAGAUUUAGCCACCUCCCAAAAUACUAUAAUCGAAUUAAGAAAUUUAGCCAUAUUAUAUCUUAUAUAUAGGAUUAUUAGAUUUUAGGGGUGUCAUAACUCGUUCAUAGCACUAUAUAUAUUCGAGCAUUUUAAAGGUAUAGUGUAUGAGAUCUAUUUAUCAAGAAUUUGAAUACUCAUCGGCACGGAUCAUAUUCAUCAUAUCGUAUCGUGCCAAUGAGAUGUCGUUACGAUACAUCCCUCGUGCCAAUAGCACAGCUCACAACUCUUUUUUUUAAAAAAAUUAGUAAUAAUUUUUUCAAUAAUAUUCAAAAAGUUUGAUACAAAUACAUAAUAAUUAAGCAAUUAUAAGAUUUUAUCAUAAAAAAAAUAAUUUAUGCUAUUAUGUAUAGGUACACAUAUAGUUUUUAUGACCGGCGUUUAUCAGUACAAUCUGAUACGUACCGUGUCGUACCGUAUCAGUAAAUUUUCGGCCCUAUCCGAUGAAAGUGAUAAUUCCCAGUAUUGGAUCUCUUGGGGAGAGGACAUGUGGCACAAUGAGGUUCUGUCUAGGGGUGGAAACGAGCCGAGCUCGAGCGAGCUUAUGUAAGCUCAAAUUCGGCUUGAAAUUAAUUUCGAGCCUAAAUCUAGGCUCAAGCUCGGCUUGAAAUUAAUUCNAGUUCAAAUUAAAAUUUAAAAUUAUAUAUUUAAUUUUUAAAUUUUAACUCAUAUUUUAAUUAAAAAAGUUGAAAAAAUAAAUUUAAUCCAAAUAAAUAUCUAUUCCGCCCAGAUUCAACUUCCAAUCCGACCUUCUAGGCCGGAUUGAAAAAAAGGUGAUUGAGCGAUUUCCAUUCUACUCGGGAAUCGGAAUCGGAAUGAGACUCUUACAUACCAAACACUCACAAAUGGAUUCACUCAUUCUCAUUCCGAUUCCAUGACGAAAAAGAAGCGAAUCAAACACGCCCAUAGUUUUUAUGAUUGGCAUUAGUCUUUAUGAUUGGCAUUAGUCCGUAUAAUUUGACUCGUAUCGUAUCGUACCGUAUCAGUAAAUUCCCAAUAUUGGAUCCCUUGGGAAGAGGACACGUGGCACAAUGAGGUUCUGUCGCUGGGCUCACCUUGUGGGUCCCCUUCAAAGAAUCUAUAUCCACAGAGUCUAUGAAAUUUAUUAUGAAAAGAUCUAUAAAUAUGUAUAUAAUAUAAAAGUUGGAUAGGAAUAGUAGUUAUGGGAACAUCUAAUGCUAGGCAUGCAGUGGUUGGGCAGUUUGAUGAUGACACUACCAUAUAUCCUUGUCAGGUAGAGAAUUAGGGUUUAAUUUAUGUGAAAUCAAUCAUGAUGAAAUUAAAUCAAUACAUACAACUCUUUAUAUCUUAAUCCUAAUUAAUUACAGCUCUAUGCCCUUUUUCUUUUUCUGUAUUAUAGAAUGAUCUUUAGGAUUGUUAACAGUACCCCUUUCAUAAAUUAUCUCGUAGCUGAAAAUUUGAUUCACAUUAGAUUGGAAAUAAUCCAAAAACAUACUUAACAUCCUCACGUAUAUAAAUAAAAAAUUUGAACUGAUAUAUUAUCACGUACACAUUCCAAACAAGGCCUUAGUCGAUCUUUUGAAUUUUAAUAUGAGAAUUUGAUCUACUAAACAUGCAUGGUGGGUGUUUGAACCAAUCAUAUUUUUUACUAUACGUAGUACUAAAGAUUAGAGUAAUAAUUAAACAAAGUGGAAGGUUAUAUUUCUACAAGAAUAGAAAUAUUAGUACUAAAGAUUAGUGUUCCCUAUAUAUUUCUAUUCUUUUCUACAAGGAUUUCCUAUUUAUGUAGAUUAUAAUAUGAUUACGUGCCAUAAAAAUGAGAAACUUUUCGUUUCCUCAUUGGAAGAUUUCAACUUAGAUGAUGUAUUGUUAUAUUUAUUUUGCCACAUUCCUGACAAGGUCUAUCCUAAUACAAUCUCUUGAUGAGAGGAUAUCUUUUAGGGUGCGUUUGGUUCGCACUAUAAAAGAUUACUAGGAGUAAAAAGAUAUCCGAAAAUCUUAUUCAUAUUCAUCCUAUUACUAAAAAUAUAGUAUUUCGGUGUUUGGUCGUACGGUCAUAUUAUUUAGUCAUGUUAUUUAAGAUUACGAAAAAUAUACAAUCAAUUAAUUAAUUAAUUUAAUUAAUUUUAAAUAAUACUAUAAAAAAAUUUCAACAUCUUUUUAAAAAAAAGAGAGAGAAUAUAAGUUAGAAAGAGAGAGCCUAAUUAAAGAAAUAGAAAAAGAAAUAGAGUCGAGAUUAGAGAGAAUGAGAGGGUUGAGAUUUUAGAAAAAGAGAGAGAGAAAUAGCUUAAUUUAGAGAGAGAAAGAGUUGAAGUUUAGAAAAAAAAAGAAAAUAAGUUUAGAGAGAGAUAUGAGGUUAGAGUGUAAAAAUAAAUAAUACCAACUAGCCGGCGGGUGGGAAAAAAAAAGAGAUUAGACAUAUUAUAAUUACUCCAAUCUAUUAAUAUAAGGAUACUCACCUUCCCUCAAAGGAAUGAGAUUAGUAUUUUGUGAUGCAUCUCAUUCCUAAGUAAAUCUAGUAUUACCAAUCAGAUUACUUAGUGCGUUUAGCCAAACACCGUCAUAUUUUUUUAUUUUUAUUGAAUAAUUAGGAAUCUUAAAAAGAUAGCGCGAACCAAACACACCCUUAAAACUUAGCCAUAUAUCCAAGGAGGAAUGAUUGUGAACCAGAGCUUCUUAAAAGCUAUCUCUCAAUUUAAUGCUCCGUGUAUAUUUGGCUUUCUACAUUAAAUUGUUCAGAGGAAUGUGUGGCUUUGGGCUAUAGGCACAUGGUUGGCUCCCCAGAGGGCAUGAUGUCCACUACCAAAAACCCAUGGCCCAUAGGGCUUCCUAGGGGCAACUUGGUUUUGUAAAAGGGUUGGAGUGGUGUAAUUAAACUAUGAAGUGAACCCUACCAAUUGCAUUUAAUCUUUAGGGUUCACUUUCACAUCUAUGUAAGUUAAGUUUGGUAGCUAUGAGAAACUCUUUCCAAUCAAUCCUGGUAACUAGAUCAUUUGCUGCAAUGUGGUAAUUGUUAGUUUAAAUAGACAAGAAUUCUGCCUUGUGGAAGGUCAGAUUAUUACAAGUCAUGUUCAAAAUGGCAGUAGGUCAGGUUUGGCCGUGUCACAAUUGAGACCCACGGGCUCUGUAUCUGUAUGCUUUAAGUGAGUUGGUUGUGUAUUUUUAACAGCCUGAACUUCUAGGAUUAAUAGUUAGUACCAAUGAUCCGACUGUAAUUACUUUAUGAAAUCUUAAUCCUUUUUCUAUUUGGUGAAUAGUAAAAGAAAUCAACAUUAUUAUGUAAAAAUUCUAUUCGACAGUAAUUACUUGAUGUGACAUCUUAAUCUAUUUUUCUAUUUGAUGAAUAGUAAAAGGAAUCAACCUUAUCAUGUGAGAAUUUUGUUAGGCAGAACUUUCCAUUUAGAUCAACAGGACAAAGUUCACUCCAAUUGAUAGGCAAAUUGCAUUAGAUGAUGAAAUGUGACAAAUUUUAGGCCUAAUUUUGGAAUGUGUUCUUUAAACACAACUAGUUUGAUGCUUUUGAACCCUAUAAAAUCCGAAGGUGUUUAGCAUUAGAAACCUCUCAUUGAAAAGAAUCCUCACUAAUGUUUUUCCGUUAAUUGCUAGUGGAUCAAUAAUUUGGACCUAACGAGUUAUUAUUGUUAGUGGGUCAGAUCGCUACAUUUGUUAUUAGAGCCGGUUCACCAACGGAGAAUGUGAGGCGAUCCCAUAACGCCGAGUGAAUGGUUUACCAGCCGGAAAUAUAAGGUGGAUCUCAUAAUGCCUGGUGAUAUUGAACUAUGUGUGUGAUUGGGUUGAGUUUGUGACACUACGAUAGUCCCACAUCAGAUGAAAAUGAGGUUAUGUUGGGGAGGAAAGAAAAACUACCCUUUAUGCUAAGGAGGAGAAACAAGAGACUACCCCCUACGUGAGGAUCAGAGGAGAAAUUGGGAGAGUCUGUAACACCCCAAUAUUUAAAACUAGGGGGAAGAGAGAGACUAUCCUUUACGCUAAGGAUCGAAGGAGAAACUGGGAGAGUCUGUAUAUAAUACCCCAAUAUUUGAAACUAGGGGGAAGAGAGAGAGGGCCCUCUAUGUUGAGGAGGAAAUGUGAGACUACUCUCUAUACUGAGGAGUAGAAACAGGGGAAAAGUCUAUGACACUACAAUAGUCCCAUAGUCGGAUCGUUAAUCAGCAGCGAGUAGCGGUGCAGGAUAUCAAGAAAGCAAAGAGUCGCAGUGCAUGAUAUCAAGAAGACUUAUUGCAUUUCUUUGGGAACGAAACUACCAAAGAAAAAUAAAAGUACUUCCUAAAGAUUAGGUUAAAGAACCUAGUUUCCUGCUAAGAGUCCAAUAAUAUAGUUUUAGUGCAUUAGCUCUCCUACCAUUACACUACAACAAAAACGGUCUAUAGCGACACUUUUAAAUGUAGGUACAUGUCAAAAAAGUGCUGCUAGCUAAAAUUACCGACACUUUUAAAAAGUGUUGCUAUAUGUGGGGUCGCUAGGUAUAUAGUGACAGUUAAAGAGUGUCGCUAUAACCUAAAAGAGUGCUGCUAAUUUACCAAUAACCUAUUUAAGCAUUUAGCAACCGCCGAAACUCUAUCUCGUUGGCUGCGGUGGCGGAGGAGGACGACAGGAAUGGCUCUUCGUCUAGAAUUUCAGUGGAUUGAGUGAAGAGAGAAGAAAAUAUGAUAAUUGAUUUUUCUUCUUUUUCUUUUUUCUGUUUGUAAUCGGGCCAAAUGGGCUGGGUGUGGUGGGUUGAGUAGAGUAAUCUUUUAUUUUUUAUCGGAUUGGGUUUUGUAUUUAGGCAUUAGUAGAUGUUUUUUUAAGUUUUAGCAUAAAUGGGACACUUACUCAAAAGUGUCCCAAACAUGUGUCCCUAUAACCUAAUUCUGUUGUAGUGUUCUCACCGGAUAAAACUUUACUGAGAAGUUUUCCAACGAUACUUUGUUGGGAAGCCCUUGGUUUCCUGUUACGUAUUAAUUUUGCCUCUAUCCAAUGGUUCAUUGAAAAUUUUUUAAUAUUAAACUUGAAAAGAGUUUAUAAACCUAAAAAAAAAAAAUUAUAACCCUUGGUUAGAAAUAAAAGUAACACAUAUGGUGAUGAAUUUGAGCUCCCUAAUGAGGCGUUGUAAGGGACCUCCCCACUCAAGUUCUUUCCCUUUUUACCUAGUGUCGUCUUUUCUAUCUAUAUCUCAUAAGGGUAAUUUAAUUAUGGCCAAUUUGCAUAAAAAAUCCACUUAUUUUGGGAUUCUGCAAAACCGGGUCACCUUUUUCGUUUUUGCAGAUUCGGUCCGCUUUUUCAGCAAACUGACCACAAUACCCUUAUUACUUUUUCUCUUUCCUCUUUCUCUCUCUUCUUCGUUUCUCUCGUUCUUUUUUUUUUUUCUCGCCGGCAGAGCGGAGGCGGAGCGGAGGUAGAAACGGUCCGUCUCGUCUCUCACCCUCAUGCUCUCGCCCUCGCCCUUGCCCUCGUCCAUGCACCCCCACCUUCCUCGCCUCCGACCCUGCCAAGGCCGUGCCGCGAUUUUUUUUUUUGCUUUUUUCUUUUCUUUUCUUCUCCGACUCUCCUCCACCGUCUCCGACACGACGCUUCGCCCUUUCCCCAACCCUUAUCAUCUCUCCUCUCCCUCAUUUCGCCGGCCUCGACGACGAUUUAUCUUCGCACGGCGCCGGAGUCGACAGCCGAAGUCACUGCGGGCCUGACAGUUCGGAGCGGGGGUUCUUUAGCGCGUCGUCCCCGGGCGUCGUCUUGCCAGAGAAAGGUGACAAAAAAAAUUAUAGAAAAACAGAAAAAACAAAUAAAGAAAAAAUUAUAUAAAGAAGGAAUGAAGAUGAAAUUGUAUCGUUAAUAUACCAAAAAAUUAUAUUACACUAUUUAAAGAUGUAAACUGCUGCUUUAAGAUAAAACUUAUACUCUUUGAAACAAAAAUUAUACUAUUUUUUUGAUCUUAAACUGGCAUCCUUUUAAGUGAUAUUUAUACUGUCUCUCCUCUUGUGUGCACCUAUUCUCUCUUGUUUUACACAGAAAUGGUGGAAAGAAGGAAGAAACUUAGUGCAACAAGAGAAAAAACAGUAUAAACUAUCUCUUAAAAGUGGGAGUUUCUCCCCUCUUAUUGGCAUACUUUCACUCUUGUUGCACCUAUUCUCCUAUUUAUUGACAUAGAAAUGGUGCAACAAGAAAAAAACACGUGCAAUAAAGAAAACAAACAGUAGAUAUGUCUCUAAAAACCGUUUAUGUUGUUUAGUUUUUUUUUUUUUUUCUUUCUUGUUGGCACUAUUUCUCCUCUUGUUUACACAGAAUGGUGCAAAAAAGAAACACUAUAUAUAUCUUUACAAACAAUGCAGUUUCCUCCUCUGUUCAUCUGUUUCUCCUCUUGUUGCACUAAUUUCUCUAACUUGUUUAUACACGAAAUGGUGCAACAAGAGGAGAAUACAGUGACAACAUAGAGGAGAAACAGUGCAACAAAAGGAGAAAGCAGCUAAUAAAUAUCGUCUUAAAACAGGGUACAGUUUAGAUAAAAAUAUUGUAACAAGAGAAAAAAAUGGUGCAACAAGAGGAGAAAACAUGCAACUUUCUGGUUUAAAAGAGUAUAACUUUCAUCUGUAAUAGAUCCAUUUAAUCGAAUAGAGUGUAAAUAGAAAAAAACAAUGUAAAUUCUCUCAAAGGUGUAUUUUCGUUUAAAGAGUGUAGUUUCAUCUUAAACCACAGUAUUACAUCUAAUAGUGCAACUUAAUAAUUUUUCUUGUAGUCUAACAGAUGCAAUUCUCAUAUUCCAUCUCUUUUUCAUAAUUUUUUAGUCUUUAAUUUGUUUUUUUUUCUGUUUUUCUAUAAUUUUUUUGUCACCCUCUCGCUACAACCCACGUGUCUCGGCGAGACGCGCUAAGACCCCCGCUCCGCAGCCUUAGCGCCGCAGUGACCUCGCACGUGUCGACGUUGACGUCGGCGCUGACGAAGAUGCAUGCGGUCGACGCGGCAGAGAAUGAGGGAAGGGAGAAUGAAGAAGCGCGGAAGGACGAAGAGGACUGAUCUUCGGAGCACCGUGGACGAAAGUCGGAGAAAAAGAAAAGAAAAAAGGCAAAAAAAAAACAUCGGGCGCGGGCCUUGGGGGGUUGGAGGCGAGGAAGUGGGGGGCGUGGACGAGGCAGGAGGAGCGAGGCUAAGAAUGAGGUGAGAGGCGAGACACGGAAGUUUCCGCCUCCGCUCCUGCGCGAGAAAAAAAAAAAGAGCGAGAAACAAAGACGGAAUGAGAACAGAGAAAGAUAAAAAAAUAAAAAGGGUAUCUUGGUCGUUUGAUAAAAAUGACUGAAUCUGCAAAAAAACUGACAAAAGGCUGGCACGGUUUUGCAAACGCCACAAUAAUGGAUUUUUUAUGCAAAUUGGCCGUUAAUUAUUGAUGUAAGAUUUUUUUUCUUUUUUCUUUUUUUUUUUAAUUUUCUUGUAUGCUUACACACUUCGACGGGAAAAUUCAUCCUUGUUAUCUGGACCUACUUUUUUUUUUAUCUCUCUGACUAACAUAUAUAUUUGGAAAAUCACAGAGGCAAUGAAAAAUUUAGGCAUACAAUUUAGAGAAUUUAACGACAAAACUCUCUUCAAGAGACUACUAAAUGUAUAUAUGCUGCUCAAAUUGAAGUGUUUAUAUACAUACUAUUCAACUUAUUGUGAGUUGCAUCUGUUGGUGAUAUAUUCUAAAGUUAAUUUGCAACGUAGACUUGUGAACAUAUUCUUUUAUUAAUUAAUAAAUUGUAAGUUUAUUCAUAUUUAUUAUUAGCAGUACAAUAUAUUUAGAUGAAAUCAUCAGUUGAAUAUUUAUUGAGAAAAUAUAUUUCUAAAAAUAAAAAAAUUUGAGAUAUAUAUUUCUUUGUAUAAGAUUUUUAAACGCUUCUUAAUUACCACAGAAAUAUCAUAAGGACGGUGAAAUUCUGGAUAGGCCAUUAUAUGUUAUGUUUCUAAGUUGAGAUGAAAAAUCUUGAGUCACUAGUGUACACCGAAACAAGCAUACAAGUGCUGUGGAUCGUAAACAUUAACCAACUAUCCCAAAAGCAUGUGUUGAUAGGAAGGGCGCACCCAUCGCACUUAAAGGCUUAACUACAGCGCUCACGGGUUUCGACCUGACUCAACCCACUUGAACAUUAGGUAUAUUGUGGGGUCUCUUGCCGUUAAGUUAUUUGUGGACCGCAAUCCCACCCAACUUAUUAGGCUCACCUAACUCAACUUAUUAGUUUCCUGAGUCGAUUAUCAUGGGGCAGAAAGUUGAACUUAUUUUAACCUAAUAAUAAAUAGCCAACAAGUGCUUGUUAGCGAAGAAGUAAAUUGAACGCGACCAUUUAGUUAAACAGUCAUAUGGUUUGAUACUUACUACUGGUUAGUCUUUGCUAUAGUGUUGUGAAGGACCUGAGACAUUAUGGUUGAUUCACAUAUAAAUUGCUACCGUUUGAUUUUAAUAAUACUUAGCCUUUAAUCAUUAGUUUAUGUCUAGUAUUAAUUGACUAUAGUAGUUUUAUAUGAUAAGGCAUGUGAGUGUAAAAUAAGGAGUACUUUCAAUAUUGAGAGAGAAGGUCUUAUGUAGACUAUCAGACUUGAUACCGAAAAAUUCCUUGCUAGUAGGCUGGCAAAUGAGUGAGUCGGCUCGUGUUCGGCUCGAUAUUCGGCUCACUCUAGCUCAACUCGAAAUUUAUUUUAAGCCAAGCUUGAGUAUUACUUGGCUCGCUCGAAUUAGGCUCGAAAAGCUUGAAUAUAUAUAUAUAUAUAUAUAUAUAUAUAUAGAGAGAGAGAGAGAGAGAGAGAGAGAGAGAGAGAGAGAGAGAGAGAGNNNNNNNNNNNNNNNNNNNNNNNNNNNNNNNNNNNNNNNNNNNNNNNNNNNNNNNNNNNNNNNNNNNNNNNNNNNNNNNNNNNNNNNNNNNNNNNNNNNNNNNNNNNNNNNNNNNNNNNNNNNNNNNNNNNNNNNNNNNNNNNNNNNNNNNNNNNNNNNNNNNNNNNNNNNNNNNNNNNNNNNNNNNNNNNNNNNNNNNNNNNNNNNNNNNNNNNNNNNNNNNNNNNNNNNNNNNNNNNNNNNNNNNNNNNNNNNNNNNNNNNNNNNNNNNNNNNNNNNNNNNNNNNNNNNNNNNNNNNNNNNNNNNNNNNNNNNNNNNNNNNNNNNNNNNNNNNNNNNNNNNNNNNNNNNNNNNNNNNNNNNNNNNNNNNNNNNNNNNNNNNNNNNNNNNNNNNNNNNNNNNNNNNNNNNNNNNNNNNNNNNNNNNNNNNNNNNNNNNNNNNNNNNNGGAUCAAUUCUUUUGUCUUUAACCAGUGGAUUAAAUAUUAUAAUGAGUGCAUCAACCUAAGUGAUUAAUAUCAUCCGAACAUAUAAUUUUUUCAUUCAAGGAUUAAAAAUUUGAUAGCAAAAAAGGCCAAAUAUUAAAUCGAUAGUAUUGGAAGCCGCAUCAUUGAAAACAACUUGGUAGCACGGAAGCCUCCGUGCUAUGUAUAGUAUACCAGCCUAACUCUCUCUCUCUCUCUCUCUAUAUAUAUAUAUAUUAAAAUAAUAUAUAAAUAUAAUAUAUUUUAAUUAUAUGUAGGUUGAAUGAGUAAUUUGAGUUUAGAUAAAAAUGGGCUAAUGUUGCUGGCCCACAAAACAAACCCAAUAGACAAAUAAAAAUGCAAAAUUCUACUAAAUUUACACUCUCCCUCUCUCUUUCUUUCAUAUAUCUCUAAAUCCUUACUCUCUUUCUCUCUCUCUUUUCUCUGUCUGUCUGUCUCUCACCCUAAGUGGCCAAGCCUUUCAUUUUGCAUCAUAUCUAACUGAUUCCUUGGUUUGGCCUGAAGAAGAUUUAUUUGAUGUGGCUCAUGUAAUUUAUUCAAGGCGAUCUAUAAAGAUACAAUCGGUCUAUUCAAGUCGAUGUAUAAAGAUAUGGUAGAUCUAACGGUUAGGAUGCAUCUGGACAUGUCCUUGAUGGAUGUGCGUGAUUUAAUGUCCUUACAUCAAGUUAUAUAUAAAUAUGUAAUAUAUAGGAUCUAACUCUAAUUUUAAUUCUUAUGACGGCUCCAUUUCUGAGGAUAAGGGAAUUAGACUCGAAACGUUCUGCUCUUUUGCAGAUUGUGAACGAGGACGAACCACAAGCAAGAAUCAUCGUCUGCAAUCCGGAUAUAGAAAUCGAAAUCAUGGCAGAAGGUACGAUAUUAAUUUCUAAUAAAGUUUUAACAUGAAGGCCCCCAAGUUACCAAGUAACAGCGCGCGCCCGCCGUUGCCUACCUUAUCAUUAGUUGUGUGCUUGAAAAAAUAUACAGAAUAUUUUUAAGGUAAAAAAUUAUUGUUUAUACAAAAUUUUGAUUUUAGUUAUAUAUGAUUGGAUAGUUAAAUCCAAUAUUUGCCUAUAGAAUUUAUUCAUUUUUUAACCGUAUAAAUGAAAAGGAAUAAUAUGGAGAUUAGAGGCGGAAGAGAAAACAUACGAGACUGAAAAGAUUAGAUAUUCAACUCAUAAAUUAUUUUUCUUCAUAUUAUAAUACCGUAUUUUAUAUAAUUAUUUUGUAUUUUGAACUAUUAGAUAUAUUUUUGUAUCAAAUUGUAAAUAAUGUUUUAUACAAAUUAAACUAUUGAUCGAUCGAUGUUGAGAAUUUCAAGCGGCUCGUUUAGAGCUCAAGCUCGCUCGACUCAAAAUUAGGCUCGCUCAAGCUCAGCUCGAAUUAAUUUCAAGCCGAGCUUGAGCCUAAAUUUAGGCUUGAAAUUAAAAAUUAAUUUCAAGUUGAAUUUGAGCCGAUGUAAGCUCGCUCGAGCUCGGCUUGUUUCCACCCCUACUUGCCAAAGUACGUGAUGCGUGAAAAGAGUUUCACGCUGUAUUAACAUGUUGAGUCGAUUUUAAAAAUUCUAGUCAUCUAAUCAAAUAAUAAAGUUCGGCGAGUAACCAUAACUUUGAUUCAAUCGGGACAGUGUAUAAUGAAAAAAAUUAAUCACACGAUAAUUGUAAGCGGAAGUGUCAAUUCUUCAUUGCCAUUUUGGAUGACUACGAUAUAUUGAAAGGUGUCACUCGUGGACAAGGAGAAAAAUAAAAAAUAAUUUAAAUCAAAUUAUUUUAUUUUUCUAUUAGAAGCUUUCUAAUGCAAUAGUAAAGAUUUUGGUAUUGGAUUCCGCUGCCGAAUAGUGUGCAUUCCAAAUGAAAGGAUGAGUCUAGUAUAUUAAACAGUUUAGUAAAAGCAACAAGGAAUUGUACUAAUUUGAAAAUUAUUUAUAAAUCUUUUAAUUUUUAGUUAAAUUAAAAAGUAAUUAAAUAUUCAUAAAUUAUUAUGAAAUAAUAUUUUAACUAAAUUAGAUUUAAAUAUAAAUAUUUAAUUAUAAUAUAAAAGAUAGGUUCCAAUCAAAAUUCAUUAGAGAGAGGUAAAGAUAAAAUACUUAAAUAUUCAUCAUAAAAUAUUAUGGAUAAGUCUACUUAUUUAUUUUCUUAUCCUACACGUCAUCGUGCGGCUUCAUUAGCGUGCCGUGUGAAGAUUCGUGCGGUAUCAUAAGUGUGCCGAGAUCUUUCAUGUAGAUCGAUCGGAAUGUGUAAUGAAACAAUCUGAUAUAUCUAUAUAUACUAGCAAAGUGUACAUUAGUGCACGUAAAAUAAUUUUAAAAAAUAAUAUAUAUAUAUAUAUAUAUAUAUAUAUAUAUAUAUAUUUAAUANNNNNNNNNNNNNNNNNNNNNNNNNNNNNNNNNNNNNNNNNNNNNNNNNNNNNNNNNNNNNNNNNNNNNNNNNNNNNNNNNNNNNNNNNNNNNNNNNGAAGUAUCUAGAAAAUAAAUUUUGCGAUUUUUCGAUAUCAUUUGCGUAGUGAUCGAAGUGGCUCAAAAUCAACGGCUGAAAAUAAAAAUCUUACAAAAUAUGAGGAUAUGAUAUUAAAAUUUUAGAUCAAAGUUAUUGAUCUUGUUUUAUACGGUAUAAAGAAUUUUUUUAUCAAAAUUUCAUGCGAUUUGGAUAUUUCUACACCGUUAAACUUGCAACCGGCUCACCACGGCCAUUAAAAUUAUUAAUUUUGAGCCCCUUCGAUCACUACGCAAAUGAUAUAGAAAAAUCACAAAAUUUAUUUUCUACAUACUUCAAAUACUCUAGAUCAGCUCUAACGGAGCCGAUCGUCGAUUCGAAAGUCUGAAUAUCGAAAACAAAAUGGAAGCACGGAGGGCUCCAUGCUUCCAUAAGCAUACCAGCUUACUCUAUAUAUAUAUAUAUAUAUAGAACUAGGCUACUAUGCUAUUAAUAGCACCAAGUUAUUGGUGCUACCAAGUUUUUUGCCAUUGGAUUAAGAGAUGUGCGGUUAGGAUGAUGUGGGCCCCUUAGGGUUGAGUGGGUGGUUGGUUGAAUAGUAACGGGUGAAAAUGAUCAAAAAGGUAGAUCUAACGGAGGAAAAUUUGGUAGCACCAAGUGCUUCGUGCUAUUAAUAGCAUAGCAGCCGGACUCUAUAUAUAUAUAUAUAUAUAUAUAUAUAUAUAUAUAUUAAAGUAAUUCAGAUGGAACGUGAUGUUUAUGUAAUCAAUAAUUUUUUAAAUAAAUUAGUAAUAAAUAUUCAUAAUUUUUAAAUUUCAUUAUAGUUGUGUAAAAAUAGUUAAAAGAAUUUUGUUCUAAGAUGGGUAAAGAGAGAGAAUUUUAAUUUUUUUUAAGAAAGAUGUAAGGAGAUAAUGUUAUUUUCUAUUUAAAAAUAGAAUUAAUAAAGAUUUUCUAAAAACAGAAGAUCAAACUUAUUAGUAUUCAAUAAAAACCUUAAAAUGUAAAAUAGUACAAACACAUAUUAAAAAGAGAAAUUUUGGUAUAUGAAAAUGGAUCGAGCAGAAAACUAUAUUGUGGUUGCAAAAUGAAUCAGGUGGGACUAAAAUAUCUCUCUAAUUGUCAAAAAUUGUCAAAAAAUAAAAAUUGUUGAGGGCAUUUUGAUCUUUAUACUUAAUUUUUAAUUUUUAUAAAUUAAAAAUAUAAAAUGAUUUAAAUUAGACGUGCGAAAGGAAAGAACACCCGGUGAAGAGGACGACGGCAACGUGUUGGCGAAAGACGACGACGAAGAUGAAGAUGUGUCAGCGAGGAGGAGGAUGAUGGCGUAAAUUAAAAAAUAAAAUGAUUUAAAUUAGACGUGCGAAAGGAAAGAACACCCGGCAAAGAGGACGACGGCAAUGUGUUGGCGAAAGGCGACGACGUAGAUGAAGAUGUGUCAGCGAGGAGGAGGAUGAUGACAAUCGGUGAAGGCAAUGACGAUGACAUGCCCCCGCCGCAAGGACAACAAUGACAACGAUGCGUCGGAGAGGACGAUGGCUUACAUAUAGAAAAAUAGGCACAUGUUAAAAAUAAAUGGUGCAUUUAACAUGAGAUAUAAAAGCCUAUAAAGAUGCAAAUUUAUUAGCAUUCAAUAAUCUUAAAAAGUGAACAGUGCAAGAGCGCCGAGAUCAAACCUUCAGCUUUUGGUUUCUUGCUUCUUUUUUCUUUUAUAGUUGAGAGAAUCGCUUAUUCCUCUUCUUGAUAGAUGGGACGAGGAAUUUCUUGAUUCAUGGAAAAUGAAAUUCUUACUAAUUAUAUUAGAUAUUAGAGAUUGUAUAAAACAACAUAAUGAUAUGUGCCGGAGAGGGCGACGACGAUAAUUAGCAAAGGUGAUAUUAUGUGUGAGAAAAUGCCGAAUAGAAAAUGCAAGGAUAUUAUUGUCAUAAAAAGUGACAGAUAUUUUCAUUUUCAAACUAUUGGAUAGAUGUCACGCCCCGGAUGUCUCGUUCCCCGGGUACGCCGACAAAUCCGCCGUAUACAAAGGAAUUUCCCCUGUAUACGAAGCGUCAAAGUACCUGUAGAAAUACAAUACUACAAACAGUAGCAUAGAGCUGCUCAAAAAAAAUAAGCUAAAUAUCUGAGUUUCAUAUACAUAGCUAAAAUCCAAAAUACAAAGCUACUCGCACUGGCGAGUUAAACAACUAUGUGCAUAAACUCCAAAACAAAACUACCUGCAGUAGAGGAAAGCCUCUAGCUCUGACUGUCGGGUAGGGCUCUAGCUCGCAACGCCCUUGCCUCGAUCCUGGGCGGCAGAAGAUGCAGCAGCCGGCACCUGUGGCUCUGCAAAACAUAAGUAACAACUGGGCGUGAGAACUACUGUAAAAACAAGUAGUCCUCAGUGGGUACCGCCCAAAACAACAUCGGUCACCCACUAAGUCUACAGAAGGGAGCAAGGAUAGAAGGAAAGCAGGAAGCAUACUCUACCGCUAUCAUCCACUACACUAUCAUGCUCUACACUAACCAACUGUAGGAAAUGUCAAAUCUGACCCAAUCCAAUCGGGACUGUAAGCAUACCCGUCCCCGGGACUGUGAAUACACCCGUCCCUGCCCCGUUGCGACUAUCGGGCUCUAUCCACACUAACUGGUCCGUGGAGAGCAAGUCCAACUGGCAUGAGCGACACCAACGCAAAAGCACAAGCCUGACUCCGGAGUGGCACUCGUGGGCGCUACCCAACCGAGUAUGCAGCGUAUCUCUGUCGAGCUCAAUCAGGCUCCAACUAGCCAAAGUCAAGUAAUCGACUCAAACUGGUCUAACAACCAACAGGUAACGUGCCCUCGGCACAAUCUGACGCCAAAAAGGCGAUACGGGUCCACCGUCAACUCUGACGGCACCCAACAGUCCGAAACGACCUGAACGACCCUGUAAAAAUCCACUCGGCGAACCAGCACGAGUGUAAAUACAUUCUAAACUACCUGGAGUACUCGUCUCGAAGAAACUGCGACAGUACAAUUUUCUAACGGCUCCUAGAGCUAAAUCAGGUAGUUAAAACAGGUGACAGGUCCAAAUCGCAGGUUUUCUCCUAAUUCAAUUUCCAAGUCCAACAUGUAUAAUCUACUUAAUUUAAAAAAACAUGCUCCAAAAUUCAGAUUUCACAAUCUACAUAUAGUCCAUGAAUUUGAGCUAAAAUUAAUUACCGAAAUCAAGAUCUAUACAUGUCGACCAAUAAGAACUUAGGAGUAAAGCCGAUGUAACCCACCUAAAAUGCUAAUCCCUGGCAGCGAAGGACUCCCCCUGGUGUAGUGCAACCUGCUGGAUCACCCGGAACCCGCCGAGUACAAAAAUCGCCUAAGCCCGAGCUCUACGCAACAAAAUUCACCAAUUCAGUCCAAAAUCCACAGCAGCAGAGAAGAAAGGGAUUUCGACCUAGCUAACCUUCACCAAAAUUCGCAAGUAAGGGCUUCGUGGAUUCCUUUCGAAGUCCCGAAUCCAACGAACCAAGCCUCGUCGAAAUCCAAUGCUCCUACGCCGAGAGCGAGCUGAAAUACUAACAGUCGACGGUGGAUUUCAGCAAACAACAUCUUUCCGAGUUGAAGUAGUAAGAACUUGCCCAAAAUCCCAGGAAAGGCUGAAUUACUCACCUCGACAGCGAUUAGCACCGGUGCGACGUCAAGAACGGCGAAGUUGCACGCUCGCCCGGUCUCCUCGCGAUGUCCCGGCGUCAAAUACGUGCUCGAACGAUCCCGCGGCGCGACGUCGACGACGAAACUCCAACCGAGCUCUCCUCCUUGCUCACAAUCGGGACUAGAGAGAGAGAUGAAGGAACACAAACCCUUCUCUCAACUCCUCUCCUCUGUAUAUAGGUUGAGGGAAAAAUGGGUGACACAAACGAGGGAGAGAAAUUACUCAAAUAGCCCUCUACCUACCCCCUUGUACCGGUACACGGGCUCCUAUACCGGUACAAGAGCCAACCCGAGAGCAGUUGAGCUAUUUCGCGCUGGUUGUACCGGUACAGCCACUAAGCUUGUACCGGUACAGCAAGCAGAGAAUGCUGCUGUUUUGCAGAAUUCUUCGCGAUAAGCGGCCCUCGCGUCGCACGGAGUCCGUUUUACGUCUAUUUGACGCCAACGCGACUCGGACUUGUCCCGACACUCUCCAGAGCUGUCGACAAGCCUCCACAGUCAAACUCCAGGGAUCUCACAAUAGAUCCCAUAUAUAGCAAAAAAUUAAAAUUUAUAUUUGAAAAUAAAUUAUUAUUUAUGGAUUAUUUGAAAUGAAUAGUUCAAAAUGACUGAACAUGAAAAUAUUACUAAAAAAACAUAGAGAUAUUUUCGGAAAGAGAAAAAAGGCAAAACUAACACUUUUAUAAGUAUAAAUAUUGAAAAUUAGAUCUGUCUAAUAUAGAUUAUUUUUACAUUUUAACAUUAGAAUGAUCUAUCGACACUGGAUUAAUUUUUAUUUUUUUAUUUUCAUAUGUGAUAUGAGUUUUGAUAUUCGAAAAAUUUUAAAAAAUAUAAUAUUAUUUUUCUGUUGCGUUUUUCUUUUAUACCGGUAAUUCUAAUAUUGGUAUCAGAGCCAACUCCCAUGUUCCACGUGAAAAUAUUAAUGUUCAAGUAUGAUUUGAUUGAAAUUUGGAGCCUUUCUGCGAUUAGACCGAUAUUGUCUUUCUUAAGUCGCGCGUGCUGUUGUUGAUUUUAAACUAUAAUAUGAAUAUGUGGAGACUUGAGAAAAAUAUAAAUCCACCUAACACCCCCAAAGUAGUGAAAGCCCAUUUUGGCCCAGCAAAAGUCGGGCCAAACAGAUACUCUGUUAGGUCUACUCCGGAAGUUGUCGCAUUUGUGGUAUAUAGAAAUUUGAGUUUCAACAGUAUGUUCUUCAUUAAAAAAAAACAUGCAUUUUCAAUUGAAUCAAAUUUUUUAGAAUCACUAACUAUAUAACUGUAGAUACAUUUCAAAAUAAGAUACAUUAUUAUUUUUUUUAAUUUAGUUUUUAGCUCUAGUUUGGGGUUUGGAACCUAAUGUUAGAAUUUGGGCUCUUGUUGGGCUGCUGCAGUGACUCUUCUCCUCCACUCUAAAUGGGCCUUUCCAGAAAAACGAGAGUACCAACAUAUAAUUAAGGGGCAAUUUCAAAUAUAACCCCCUAAAACUUAAAAAUAUCAUAUAUGUUUCUUCAAAAUCUAAAAUAUCAUUCAUACUCUCUCUAAAUUUGUAAAUCUAUCACUGGUACUCCUCUAGACAUAUAAAGCUGUCCCAAAUACCCCUCUAACCCCAAACCCAAAGCCUAAAUCCAAAACUUUUUAGGCUCCAUUUGAUUUAGGAAUAAACCUGGGUGAACAAAAGUUAUCCCAGCUAUUCUGCUAAACAAUAUACAAAAAAAAAGAAUAAUUAUUUCAGUUAAACCAGAUUAUUUAGAUAAUUUCUAAAUAUUCCAAGAACAACUUAGCUUAUUAAAGAUAACAAGGGCACGUUUGGUUCGAGUUAUAUUAUAUUAUAGAGUAUUUCGAUAUAAAAUUUCUAAAUGAGAUUACCAUUAGUAUGUUUGGUUUAAUACAAUAAUGUAAUACCGGAUUGCUGUGUUUAUAGCGUUACUAUAUUUGGUUUUGUCUAUAAAAUUUAGUAAUUUAGACAAUAAAGUAUAGUCUAUUCCAAAAUAGCCCUUAGUUAUAUUUCGUAAACUUUUUUUUUUAUUGUUUACAAAUAAUAUUUUUUUACCAAAUUUUAUUUUAAAUAAUUUAAUUUUUAAAUUUUAAAUUUUAACAAACAUAUAAAUUUAAUAUUUUAAUUUAAAAUAUAAAUAUGAAAUUUCUAAAUUUAGAAUCUAAAAUGUAAAUAUAAAUAUAUAUAAAAUAAAAAAUUAAAUUCAGAAUUAAAAUACAAAUUGAUUUUAAAUUUAACCAAUUUAAAAUUCAAAUUUCAAACUUCAAAUUUCAAAUUUUGAGAUUUAAAAUUUGAAUUUUAAAUUUAAAAUUUAAAAUUUAAAUUGAAGUUAAAAAUUUAAAAAUAAAAAAUUAAAAAUUUAAAUUUAAAAAUUUAAAAAUUAAAAUUUGAAAAUUAAAAAUUAAAAAUUAAAAGUUGACAAUGUCAAAAUUUUAAAUUAAAUUUUUUUUAAUAACGUAUUGAAAGGAUUCGAGAGUUAGAGGGUAAAAAUGUCAUUUUACAUAAUAUGUAGUAUUAUCCGGUUUUCAGUAAUGCAAGAUACACGACCCCCUCUCGUUUAUAUUUCUAGUUUUAUAUUUCGGUGUAAUACUUCCUCGAUUAUGUAAUGCUGCAUAACGACUAGAUUAUAUAGCGAUGAACCAAACACGUUAAUCCUGACAGGAUAGAUACCUGUAUCCUGCCGAAUUGAAAAUGAACCAAACGCACCCUAAAAGUAAUGUAAAAUAUGGUUAUAUAUAAUAUAUAUUAUAUAUAUUAUUAUAUUAUAUAAAAUUGAGCUCCUAUGCUUUUAAAAGUAGCAAGUUUUUGGUGCUUGUAGUGUUUUCGCCAUUGGAUUAAGAGAUAUGUGGUUAUGAUGAUGUGGCCCCUAGGUGCUUGAGUGGGUGGUUGAUGAAAUUAGUAAUUAAUGGUUGAAAGUGAUCCGAAGAAAGUAGAUCUAACGGUAAAAACACUUACAAGCACCAAGUGCUUGGUGCUUUUACAGCACCAUAGCUGGACAAUAUAAUAUUUAUAAUAUAUAUAGUAUAUAUAUAUAUAUAUAUAUUCAUAUAUUAUUAUUGUUAUGAAUAUAUAAUGAUAUAUUAAAAUAUUUAUAAUAAAUAAUAUAAUAAUAAUAAUAAUAAUAAUAAUAAUAAUAAUAAUAUUUUAUUAUUAUUAUAUUAUUAUUAUUAUUAUUAUUAUUAGUAGUAGUAGUAGUAGUAGUAGUAAUAGUAGUCAACAACAACUACUAGUGCUAACUAUUAUAUAUAUUUAUUCCUUUUAUAAAUUUAUCUUUAUAUUUAUAUUUAUCUAAAAUAUUAUUUUUGAAAAUAUUUUAUAUAUUAUAUAUUGAAGUAUGUUAUACAAGAAUAUUGAAGUAUUUUAUAUAAUAAUAUGAUUAUAAUAGUAUUAAAUAUAAUAUUUGAAUUAUUUUAUAUUUUUAAAAAUAUAUUAUUUUUUAUGUAUUAUUUUAUUUUAUAGUAAAUAGUCUAUAUAAUGAGAGAUUAGAUAAUAAUAACCGCAAUCUUAAUAUUAAAAAUUUUAAUAUAUUUUUGGAGUAGGACUAGAAUACUUGUAAAGUAUCAUGGGGGUGUACUUGCUGUGUUUUAUAACCCUUGGAUGGAGAGAUGUGAGGUUAAGAUGAUGGUGGUAGAUGGUGGUAGGUGGUGGUAGGUGGAAUAGUGUUUAAUCUAAGGGCUAUUAAUAAUCAAAAAGUAGAUCCAAUGGCUUAAAACCUAAUAGCACCAUGAUGGUGAUACUUGUAAAGGUAUCAUAGCUCAACUCUAUUUUUUGUACAAUUCUUCAUUAUUCUUAAUAAAAUUACUAAAA
rnacentral:lncRNA from 1 species